CUGCAAAUGCUGGACGGAUUGACCAUACGCAGCCUGGCCCUAUUGACACGUCAGUGUUAAAGUUGCAGCCCACCCAUCGGUCAGAAGCUAUUUGGAAUGGCCAGGAUCUAGGGGCCCUUACUUGCCGUGGCCGUACUGAAGAGUUCUCCAACCGAGAGCCAAUGGUGGACGACCGAGUCGUUGACAUCAUUAAGGCAUUGGGCUUGGAGGGACUGCUGAGGCAACCGGGUAGAGAGCUUGACCAUGGCCUAAUAACAGCCUUCGUGGAGCGAUGGCGGCCUGAGACUCACACCUUCCACAUGCCACAUGGUGAGAUCACCAUCACAUUGCAGGAUGUGGAGGUGAUUCUCGGGCUUCCUGUUGAUGGUGAUGCUAUAACAGAGAGCACACAGAAAAAUUGGAUGCGUGUGUGUGAGGAGUUCCUUGGCUUUCAACCUAUAACUCAAGAGCAGCAUAAGUAACUUAAUGGCCAAAGGAUUCUCAUCAAACGGCUUUUAGAGCAAGUUGCUAAUCCAUUGUCGCCUAAUGCUGAAGAGGAUGAGCUGCAUAAGUACGCACGAUGCUAUAUCCUAGCGCUAUUGGGGGACACAAUAUUCAUGGACAAAUCCGGCGAUAGGGUGCAUCUAAUGUGGGUACAACAGUUGGAAGACCUUCACAACCCAUGAAGGUAUAGUUGGGGAAGUGCUUGCCUUGCAUGGUUGUACCGAGAGCUAUGCAGGGCAAGCGAUAAGGACACCAGUCAAAUCGGUGGGUGCUUAUUGUUGGUCCAGUAUGCAGCCUAGUGUUCCCAGCAGUCCAUAUGGUGGAAAUUAUCAACCUCCCUCAAGUUCUCCUAAUGGAGCAUACGGAACUCCUGCUCCCUAUCAGCCCCCAAAUAUAUUCCUUCCAUCACAGACACCUUCCUAGCCAAAUUUUGCUGCACCUCCCGUUACUGCGCCUGUUGCGAGGCCCUUUAUUCCCACAACUCCUGCUAUGCUGAAAAAUGCAGGGCAAUAUCAGCAGCCCACAUUGGGUUCUCAGUUGUAUCCUGGAACUGCUAACCCUACUU